UCCGGUGACGAUAGCAGAAGGGAUCCACCUGUACCCAUACCGAACACAGAAGUUAAGCCUUCAUGCGCCGAUGGUACUUGGCUGGUAACGGCCUGGGAGAGUAGGUUAUUGCCGGAU
rfam:Peptoniphilus sp. BV3C26 contig00050, whole genome shotgun sequence.